GGGGUAGAUCGGGUGGUCGCCCUUGACAUUCGCGCAUUGCGCGAAUGUCAAGGGAGGAAAGUCCGAGCUCCAUAGAGCGGCGUAGCGGGUAAUGCCCGUCGGUCGAAAGGCCAGGAUCAGAGCAACAGAGACAACGACUCCCCCCGUCUCGCUAUUGUAAAAUACGGCGAGACGGGGCAGAGGGUGAAAAGAUGCAAUCUCUACGCGGAGCAAGACCAAAUAGGUCCCGAAUCACCCUUCGACAAGCUCAGGGUGAUCCUGAGCAAGGUCGCCGAAGGCGACCGCGUCGAAGGAUCAGAAGCUGCUCGUUUCUACCGGUAAGACGUCGGUGUCGGGACGGGUUAGGUCGCUUGAGCCUUGUGGCAACAUAAGGCCCAGAUGGAUGAUCACUAACAGGCAUCUAAGGUGCUUGCUUACAGAACUCGGCUUACAGAUCUGCCCCUCAU
rnacentral:RNase_P_RNA from 1 species